AGCUCAGUUGGUAGAGCGCUUGCCUAACAAGCAUGAGGNCUUGGGCUCCAUCCCCAG
rnacentral:tRNA from 1 species